CCUACGGGGGGCUGCAGUGAGGAUUAUUGGUCAAUGGACGAGAGUCUGAACCAGCCAAGUAGCGUGAAGGAUGACUGCCCUAUGGGUUGUAAACUUCUUUUAUAUGGGAAUAAAAUGUUCCACGUGUGGGAUUUUGUAUGUACCAUAUGAAUAAGGAUCGGCUAACUCCGUGCCAGCAGCCGCGGUAAUACGGAGGAUCCGAGCGUUAUCCGGAUUUAUUGGGUUUAAAGGGAGCGUAGGUGGAUUGUUAAGUCAGUUGUGAAAGUUUGCGGCUCAACCGUAAAAUUGCAGUUGACACUGGCAGUCUUGAGUACAGUAGAGGUGGGCGGAAUUCGUGGUGUAGCGGUGAAAUGCUUAGAUAUCACGAAGAACUCCGAUUGCGAAGGCAGUUCACUGGACUGCAAUUGACACUGAGGCUCGAAAGUGUGGGUAUCAAACAGGAUUAGAUACCCUAGUAGUC
rnacentral:rRNA from 1 species